rnacentral:rRNA from 1 species
UACACACCGCCCGUCACACCAUGGGAGUCGAUUGCUCCAGAAGUAGGUAUCUUAACCGCAAGGAGGGAGCUUACCAAGGAGUGGUUGGUGACUGGGGUG